rnacentral:tRNA from 1 species
AAACCGGUGAAAUUUUGAAAUNUGUGAAGGGUCAAGUCCCUCUAUCCCCA